UACGUAGGGGGCGAGCGUUAUCCGGAUUCAUUGGGCGUAAAGCGCGCGUAGGCGGCCCGGCAGGCCGGGGGUCGAAGCGGGGGGCUCAACCCCCCGAAGCCCCCGGAACCUCCGCGGCUUGGGUCCGGUAGGGGAGGGUGGAACACCCGGUGUAGCGGUGGAAUGCGCAGAUAUCGGGUGGAACACCGGUGGCGAAGGCGGCCCUCUGGGCCGAGACCGACGCUGAGGCGCGAAAGCUGGGGGGGCGAACAGG
rnacentral:rRNA from 1 species